rnacentral:rRNA from 1 species
GAUGAACGUUGGCGGCGUGCCUAAUACAUGCAAGUCGAGCGAACGGACGAGAAGCUUGCUUCUCUGAUGUUAGCGGCGGACGGGUGAGUAACACGUGGAUAACCUACCUAUAAGACUGGGAUAACUUCGGGAAACCGGAGCUAAUACCGGAUAAUAUUUUGAACCGCAUGGUUCAAAAGUGAAAGACGGUCUUGCGGUCACUUAUAGAUGGAUCCGCGCUGCAUUAGCUAGUUGGUAAGGUAACGGCUUACCAAGGCAACGAUGCAUAGCCGACCUGAGAGGGUGAUCGGCCACACUGGAACUGAGACACGGUCCAGACUCCUACGGGAGGCAGCAGUAGGGCAUCUUCCGCAAUGGGCGAAAGCCUGACGGAGCAACGCCGCGUGAGUGAUGAAGGUCUUCGGAUCGUAAAACUCUGUUAUUAGGGAAGAACAUAUGUGUAAGUAACUGUGCACAUCUUGACGGUACCUAAUCAGAAAGCCACGGCUAACUCCGUG